GAUGAACGCUGGCGGCGCGCUUAACACAUGCAAGUCGAACGAUGAAGCCCAGCUUGCUGGGUGGAUUAGUGGCGAACGGGUGAGUAACACGUGAGUAACCUGCCCUUGACUCUGGGAUAAGCCUGGGAAACUGGGUCUAAUACUGGAUAUGACUUCUCAUCGCAUGGUGGGGGGUGGAAAGAUUUAUUGGUCUUGGAUGGACUCGCGGCCUAUCAGCUUGUUGGUGAGGUAAUGGCUCACCAAGGCGACGACGGGUAGCCGGCCUGAGAGGGUGACCGGCCACACUGGGACUGAGACACGGCCCAGACUCCUACGGGAGGCAGCAGUGGGGAAUAUUGCACAAUGGGCGCAAGCCUGAUGCAGCGACGCCGCGUGAGGGAUGACGGCCUUCGGGUUGUAAACCUCUUUCAGUAGGGAAGAAGCGAGAGUGACGGUACCUGCAGAAGAAGCGCCGGCUAACUACGUG
rnacentral:rRNA from 1 species